rnacentral:rRNA from 1 species
AAAAAUACCGCAUAAAAACUUUAAACACAAGUUUUAAGUUUGAAAGAUGCAAUUGCAUCACUCAAAGAUGAUCCCGCGUUGUAUUAGCUAGUUGGUGAGGUAAAGGCUCACCAAGGCGAUGAUACAUAGCCGACCUGAGAGGGUGAUCGGCCACAUUGGGACUGAGACACGGCCCAAACUCCUACGGGAGGCAGCAGUAGGGAAUCUUCGGCAAUGGACGAAAGUCUGACCGAGCAACGCCGCGUGAGUGAAGAAGGUUUUCGGAUCGUAAAACUCUGUUGGUAGAGAAGAACGUUGGUGAGAGUGGAAAGCUCAUCAAGUGACGGUAACUACCCAGAAAGGGACGGCUAACUACGUGCCAGCAGCCGCGGUAAUACGUAGGUCCCGAGCGUUGUCCGGAUUUAUUGGGCGUAAAGCGAGCGCAGGUGGUUUAUUAAGUCU